CGGUCCUCGCCCCACCAGAUGAGCUUGCAUUCCUCUUUGCAGUCUCUCAAUGCACCGGGAUGCAAUUUUGAGCCACAGUCCGCACCCUACUCUCAAUUAGGCAAGUAUACUUACUGUAAUUGUUAUGUCUCACCUCUGUGGUUGGUAUGCUCAAUGUCCUUCACAAAAUAAACGGCAGCAACUUAUUUUUAUGUCAAUAAAAGUGUCUAAUUGUCAUUCUGACCUCAUUAUAA